rnacentral:tRNA from 1 species
GCCAAAACAGCUCAGUUGGUAGAGCGUUAGACUAUAGUUCCAAAGGUCCCUGGUUCGAUCUCGGAUUUCGGCA